rnacentral:rRNA from 1 species
GACGAACGCUGGCGGCGUGCUUAACACAUGCAAGUCGAACGGUGAAAGAAGAGCUUGCUCUUCUGGAUCAGUGGCGAACGGGUGAGUAACACGUGAGUAACCUGCCCCAGACUCUGGAAUAAGCGCUGGAAACGGCGUCUAAUACCGGAUACGAGACAGAUCUGCAUGGCUACUGUCUGGAAAGUUUUUCGGUCUGGGAUGGACUCGCGGCCUAUCAGCUUGUUGGUGAGGUAACGGCUCACCAAGGCAACGACGGGUAGCCGGCCUGAGAGGGCGACCGGCCACACUGGGACUGAGACACGGCCCAGACUCCUACGGGAGGCAGCAGUGGGGGAUAUUGCACAAUGGGCGAAAGCCUGAUGCAGCGACGCCGCGUGAGGGAUGACGGCCUUCGGGUUGUAAACCUCUUUCAGCAGGGAAGAAGCGAAAGUGACGGUACCUGCAGAAGAAGCACCGGCUAACUACGUG